AUGCGCUCUCCCAGAGCACCCGCGCGUUCACCACGAACCCGGCCCACUCCAGCCGGGUGGACAGCAGCAUGUCGCUCCGCGCCGCCGGCAGCAGCGUCUCCUCCGAGACAUGGUAGCGCGGAGGUGGUGGUCGGGGUGACGGCAAUCACGGGCCUGGGCGCGUCGGCCAACCGGUUGCGGCUGCGGCGCUGCGCUUCCUGGACGGCGGCGAGGAUGCUGUGGGCCUUGAGGAGCUCGCUGGGGUCCGGGUGCGGCCACUUGCGGACGCGGAUGGCGUGGCGGCCGACGAAGACCGGGCCGUGGUGGACCUGGUGGUGCGCGUUGGCGCCGGCCUCGCUCUCAGCCACCGUGGUCGUCGUCGUGACGGUGGUGGUGGUGGUCGUCGUAGUGGUGAUGGUGGCGGUGGCGCAGAAGAGCGCGUGCAGGAUGAGCCACGUCGCCGGCAGCGACGGCUUGGCCAGCUCUGGCGCCGCGUCGGGCGCCCCCACGGACAGCGGGAGCUUCAUCUCGCCGGAGUGGCCGAACACAGACGACACACACACCGCGUAG
rnacentral:rRNA from 1 species